rnacentral:rRNA from 1 species
UACGUAGGGUGCAAGCGUUAAUCGGAAUUACUGGGCGUAAAGCGUGCGCAGGCGGCUUUGCAAGACAGAUGUGAAAUCCCCGGGCUUAACCUGGGAACUGCAUUUGUGACUGCAUGGCUGGAGUGCGGCAGAGGGGGAUGGAAUUCCGCGUGUAGCAGUGAAAUGCGUAGAGAUGUGGAGGAACACCGGUGGCGAAGGCGGUCUGCUGGGCCAAGACUGACGCUGAGGCGCGACAGCGUGGGGAGCAAACAGG